CCUACGGGAGGCAGCAGUGAGGAAUAUUGGUCAAUGGCCGUAAGGCUGAACCAGCAAAGUCGCGUGAAGGAAGAAGGAUCUAUGGUUUGUAAACUUCUUUUAUAGGGGAGUAAAGGUGUCCACGUGUGGAUAUUUGAAUGUACCCUAUGAAUAAGCAUCGGCUAACCCCGUGCCAGCAGCCGCGGUAAUACGGAGGAUGCGAGCGUUAUCCGGAUUUAUUGGGUUUAAAGGGUGCGUAGGUUGUUUUUUAAGUCAGCGGUGAAAGUUUGUGGCUCAACCAUAAAAUUGCCGUGGAAACUGGAGGACUUGAGUGUGUUUGAGGUAAGCGGAAUGCGUGGUGUAGCGGUGAAAUGCAUAGAUAUCACGCAGAACACCGAUUGCGAAGGCAGCUUACUAGGCCAUAACUGACACUGAGGCACGAAAGCGUGGGGAGCAAACAGGAUUAGAUACCCUUGUAGUC
rnacentral:rRNA from 1 species